rnacentral:sRNA from 1 species
AAUAAAAUAAAGAAAAUAAGA